UACGUAGGGUGCAAGCGUUGUCCGGAAUUAUUGGGCGUAAAGGGCUCGUAGGCGGUCUGUCACGUCGGGAGUGAAAACCUCGGGGCUUAACCCCGAGCCUGCUUCCGAUACGGGCAGACUAGAGGUAUGCAGGGGAGAAUGGAAUUCCUGGUGUAGCGGUGAAAUGCGCAGAUAUCAGGAGGAACACCGGUGGCGAAGGCGGUUCUCUGGGCAUUACCUGACGCUGAGGAGCGAAAGUGUGGGGAGCGAACAGG
rnacentral:rRNA from 1 species